rnacentral:lncRNA from 1 species
CACACUACACACCCCUACCUCUGCCGCAGCUUACUGCUGCUUCCAGACCCGGGUACACAUACACCACGCACACACCACUAUCUGCGCCAGCUCUACUGCUGCUUCCAGACCCGGGUAAACACUACACACACCACCCCUACCUCUGCCAGCCCUACUGCGGCUUCCAGACCCGGGUACACACUACACACUACACACCCCUACCUCUGCCAGCUCUACUGCUGCUUCCAGACCCGGGUACACACUACACACACACUACACAGCACACAACCCCUACCUCUGCCAGCCUACUGCUGCUUCCAGACCCGGGUACACACUACACACACAUAUAUACACUCACACCCCAACCCUCUCCCUGCUUCUCCAGGACCGUCUGUUCUUCGUGAUGGAGUAGUGAAUGGAGUACCUGAUGGUUUCAGAUCCAACGCUCCAGGAAGUUUGACGGGCUCGCUCGCGCUUCUACGCCGCUGAAGUUACCUCUACUGCACUCGUUCCUGCACCGCAACGGGGUCAUUACAGGUAACGUCCGACCUUUAAACCCCUGACCUUGAACCACAGCCCACACGUGCCGGCACAACAGAGAAUUAAUCGUGGCAACUGCUGUUUGUUGUACCAGUGUAGUUUUUUUGGUUGUUGGUGGCAACCAUGUCCUCUCUCUCUCCUCCUCUCUCAGGGAUCUGAAGUUAGAUAACAUAUGUUGGAUGCAGAGGGACACUGUAAGCUGGCAGACUUUGGCAUGUGUAAGGAGGGCAUCAUCAAUGGAGUCACCACCACCACAUUCUGUGGCACGCCUGACUACAUAGCCCCUGAGGUGAGCUGAGCCAGUGUACACACAUUUCUGCCCCCUACGGGUUUUUAGAGCCUCAGAGUGUUAAAGAUAACGAUGAUGGGUGUGUGGUGUGUGUGUGUGUAGAUCCUGCAGGAGUUGGAGUAACGGUCCAUCAGUGUGACUGGUGGGCUCUGGGAGUGUUAAUGUAUGAGAUGUUGGCUGGCCAGCCCCGUUUGAAGCAGACAACGAAGACGACUGUUGAGUCUAUCCUCCAUGACGAUGUCCUCUACCCUGUCUGGCUCAGCAAGGAGGCUGUAUCCAUCCUCAGAGCUGUACGUACCAUCCCUCCAUCAUUAUAACCUUUGUCUAUCUCAUCCCUCAAUCCAUCCCUCUUACACUGUGAACAGAUAUCUCCCUUCCUGUUUUUUCUCUAUUUCUCUGUCUCCUCUUUUCUGUCUCUCUUAAAUCUUUUU